ACUCCUACGGGAGGCAGCAGUGGGAAUAUUGGACAAUGGGGGAACCCUGAUCCAGCAAUGCCGCGUGUGUGAAGAAGGCCUAUGGGUUGUAAAGCACUUUCGCUAGCGAGGAAGGGGCUUAGGUUAAGAGCUAGAGUCACUUGACGUUAACUAGAGAAGAAGCACCGGCUAACUCUGUGCCAGCAGCCGCGGUAAUACAGAGGGUGCGAGCGUUAAUCGGAAUUACUGGGCGUAAAGCGCACGUAGGUGGUUAUUUAAGUUAGAUGUGAAAUAUCCGGGCUCAACCUGGAGGGUCAUCUAAUACUGGGUAACUAGAGUACAGUAGAGGAUAGUGGAAUUUCCGGUGUAGUGGUGAAAUACGUAGAUAUCGGAAGGAACACCAGUGGCGAAGGCGGCUAUCUGGACUGAUACUGACACUGAGGUGCNAAAGCGUGGGGUAGCGAAACAGGAUUAGAUACCCUGGUAGGCUCUGCU
rnacentral:rRNA from 1 species